UACGUAGGGGGCAAGCGUUGUCCGGAAUCAUUGGGCGUAAAGAGCGUGUAGGCGGCCGGGUAAGUCCGGUGUGAAAACUCGAGGCUUAACCUCGAGAUGUCAUCGGAAACUAUUCGGCUAGAGUCCGGAAGAGGAGAGUGGAAUUCCUGGUGUAGCGGUGAAAUGCGCAGAUAUCAGGAAGAACACCAGUGGCGAAGGCGACUACCUGGCCUGUUCUUGACGCUGAGGCGCGAAAGCUAGGGGAGCAAACGGG
rnacentral:rRNA from 1 species